GAAAUGAUAGGAUCCUUUUGAAGAAAGGCUUCAGCAAGGAAUAGAGAUAGAGUAACCCCUUCACUUGGAGAAAUCACCAAAAUAACGCAGCCUUUCUCGACUCUUAAGUUUGUGGGGGUCUAAAAACAAGUUGCCGAAAUGGAAAUUAAUGCAAGCACUGUAUCAAAUGGGGGCUUUCAAUGUAACCAACACCUUAAGGAUCAUGGUUCCUGCUAUGCAGAUAUGGGUUAUAAUUUUAGACAAGGUCACAUGGACAAGUUUAGUACUUUGUCCCAACCACAUAGCAGAAUGGAGGUUGAUAAAAAUCUUUGUUCAUAAGGUGGUGGGAAGAGACUGGCUAUUGUGGAUGUGCUUUUGGAAAAUAAUAAAAACUCUCCACUAUGAAAAUUGAGACCUCAAGUAGAAUCCUAUGGAGGCUAAACAGAAACUGGCACUCAUGAGAUCACAAUAUGGUUGGAGUGAUCAAUUUUUUCAGCAAGUAAUCAUCAUCUAUAAACAUUAUCCUUUAUCUUUUUUCUUGGAUUAUAUGUAAAUGCUAUUGAGUUAACCUGGCCAAUAACGCUCUUCUGGUUCCCUGGUUAUGUAAAAGUAAAACAUGCAAUUUGCUGAGUCUUAUAUGGUGUAGGCCUCAAACUUCUUUUCUCUUUUUUUUUUGGUGAUUAUGUAUUUUGAUAAGGCUCAACAUUCUACCAUAGCAAAAGGGGAAGACAAGAAAUCUAUUUGGCUUGAUUACAAGGUAAUCUUUGAAGAUUUUCCUGU